CUUGAAAAUGAGCUGGAGCUGAGAGGAUCACCAAAACUAAAGCGCAUACAAACAUGCCGACAACCAUCAUUGGACAAAGGGCUGGACAACGGGCUGCACCGAAAAAACGCAUGGUUGCCAAGAAAGCUGCCACUGUAAUCAAUGGGGGCUCAGGGCGGUACCAUUCUGCUCAUCUGAUGAAGGUGCUCAUGGAUCAGAUUCAAACUUUGAAGACCAAGAUCGAGUCA